GACGAACGCGGCGGCGUGCCUAAUACAUGCAAGUAGAACGCUGAAGAGAGGAGCUUGCUCUUCUUGGAUGAGUUGCGAACGGGUGAGUAACGCGUAGGUAACCUGCCUGGUAGCGGGGGAUAACUAUUGGAAACGAUAGCUAAUACCGCAUAAUAUUGACUAUUGCAUGAUAGUUGAUUAAAAGGUGCAAUUGCACCACUACCAGAUGGACCUGCGUUGUAUUAGCUAGUUGGUGGGGUAACGGCUCACCAAGGCGACGAUACAUAGCCGACCUGAGAGGGUGAUCGGCCACACUGGGACUGAGACACGGCCCAGACUCCUACGGGAGGCAGCAGUAGGGAAUCUUCGGCAAUGGACGGAAGUCUGACCGAGCAACGCCGCGUGAGUGAAGAAGGUUUUCGGAUCGUAAAGCUCUGUUGUAAGAGAAGAACGAGUGUGAGAGUGGAAAAGUUCACACU
rnacentral:rRNA from 1 species